rnacentral:rRNA from 1 species
GAGUUUGAUCAUGGCUCAGAACGAACGUUAGCGGCGCGCCUAACACAUGCAAGUCGCACGAGAAAGGGCUUCGGCCCCGGUACAGUGGCGCACGGGUGAGUAACACGUAGAUCAUCUUCCCUCGAGUGGUGGAUAACUCUCCGAAAGGAGAGCUAAUACAGCAUAAGACCACGGCUUCGAUGAAGCCGCGGCCAAAGCAGGCCUCUACACGUAAGCUUGCGCUUGAGGAUGAGUCUGCGGCCCAUCAGCUAGUUGGUAGGGUAAUGGCCUACCAAGGCUAAGACGGGUAGCUGGUCUGAGAGGAUGAACAGCCACACUGGAACUGAGACACGGUCCAGACUCCUACGGGAGGCAGCAGUGGGGAAUCUUGCGCAAUGGGCGAAAGCCUGACGCAGCGACGCCGCGUGAGCGAUGAAGGCCUUCGGGUUGUAAAGCUCUGUGGGGAGGAAAGAAUAAGGCUUGGCUAACAUCCAAGUCGAUGACGGUACCUCCUUAGCAAGCACCGGCUAACUCUGUGCCAGCAGCCGCAGUAAGACAGAGGGUGCAAACGUUGUUCGGAAUUACUGGGCGUAAAGCGCGUGUAGGCGGCCCUGUAAGUCGGGUGUGAAAUCCCACGGCUCAACCGUGGAAGUGCACUCGAAACUACAGGGCUAGAGUCCU